GACGUAGGGCGCAAGCGUUGUCCGGAUUUAUUGGGCGUAAAGAGCUCGUAGGCGGCUCGUUGCGUCGGCUGUGAAAACCCGCAGCUCAACUGUGGGCUUGCAGCCGAUACGGGCGGGCUGGAGUUCGGUAGGGGAGACUGGAAUUCCUGGUGUAGCGGUGAAAUGCGUAGAUAUCAAGAGGAACACCAGUGGCGAAGGCGAGUCCCUGGACAACACCUGACACUGAGGCACGAAAGCUAGGGGAGCAAACAGG
rnacentral:rRNA from 1 species